rnacentral:misc_RNA from 1 species
GAUUCAUGCCGUGAGAAAAUUUAGACAAUCAUUUUCUUUUUCGGCCGAAGAUAAAAUUUAAUUAAUAAAAGUAUAAGCCCAGACCAUUAAGGCCUAAAAACAAAUCAAGAUCUUAGGCCCAUUAGCCCCAACCCAUACAAACAACGCCCAUACCCCACAAAAUUGAGGUACGCUAGGGCCAAGCACACUAAAGCACAGAGAUCGGCAAAAACAGGUAUGUUGCCGAUCUUCUCUUGCAUCCAAGAUGAAGUGUCAGUAGGAAGAAAAAUCAUAGGCUUUUGCAACUGCUGUUAAAGCAUAAGCAAAAGCCUUUGCUAAAGUACAUAUUGAAACGCUUCUUCUUCCAAGACAUUGGGACCUUAAAAAGCAUAAGAAAAACACACAAUCUCUGUGAUGGCCUUUGGGAGGUGAUGCAUGGCAGAGCUCUCAACUUUUCACUCUCUUUUUAGCCUUAAAUGUCAACCAACAUCAUGCAAGGCCAGCUCUAGCACCCUAGAUUUACCAUCCAUCAAGCUUCAACAUACAUAGCAACCUUCCCACAAAGCAGAAAUAACACCAAACCUAAGUCAUUUGUUGUUGUAGAGAACGACAGCCAUGGCGCGAGCCCUCAACAAAGAUAUUCUUUCUCUUAGCGACCGUAACCUGUAGCAAAACCCAAGUCAGAACCUAUUUACAUAUCGACUCAGAGGUGGGGAGGGAGAAACCUGUUCUCUGGGAUAGAGGAUGGCUUUCCCCUGCCCAGAAAAGGCAAAGGAAAGCCUCAGAAGGAAAAGAUUCGGUGUAGAUUAUGUUUCAAGAUAUACUAAAAUUUAGUAGGAUUAUCGUUUAUGACGUCGGACUAAAUUCAAGUAUGCGGUGGCCAUAAUUAGCAAUGCUCUCAAGGUGAAAGUGUGCGAGUUGAAGAGGCGUCACGUGUGUUGACAAGAAAAUUUUAGAAAGCAAAUUGAGGGUCUUAUUUGUAUAUGAGUUUGGGUGUCAAAAGAAAAUUUUA